rnacentral:rRNA from 1 species
GGUCAAGUAAGUAAGGGCCUACGAAGGAUGCCCUGGCAUCGACAGGCGAAGAAGGACGCGGGUUGCUGCGAAAAGCGUCGGGGAGCCGUAACCAGGCUUUGAUCCGGCGGUAUCCGAAUGGGGAAACCCGGCGGGAAGAAAUCCCGUCACCCGAGAG